UCACCUUGCUCGAAUCUCCUAUUGACCUGCAACCCCUGCAAUGAAUUACAAAUAUGGUAAGAGCUACCGGUAUCCAAUACCCAGUCAGUUAUAUCACAAAUAGAAAAAUACCUUACCCAGCAACAGCUUGCUUCUUUCUCUGUCUUUUCAGAUCCAGAGAGGCAAUGUACUGAGGACAGUUCCUCUUCUAGUGCCCCCGC
rnacentral:lncRNA from 1 species